rnacentral:lncRNA from 1 species
GAAAAUUCAGUGAUGAAGUAAUAUAAUAACAUAAAACAAUAAUUAAGUAAACCAUAUACUUAAUGAAACAUCAUAACUAAAUGAAGAAAUAAAAAUAAUAUUUACUGAAAGAGAGAAUAAAUAAAAUAAACUAAAAAGUAAAUAAUAAAAAAACGAUUUAAAAAGAAGAAGAAAAGAAACAGGUUGUUAGUGAAUAUGAUAUGGAGUUAUGUAGUUUAGAUGUAGCAUGAACCAUUUUAUAUUAUCAAUAAUCC